rnacentral:rRNA from 1 species
UAAAAUGAAUUUUAAAAUUAAAAUUUCUCGAAUUUUGGAGAGCUAAAAAUUUAUAUAUUUUAAUGUAAAAUAAUUAUUUAAAAUAUUUUUUUUGUAAUUAAAUGUUAGUCGUUCCUUACUAUAUCUAGUUUUCUUAGAAAUAAAUUGAAUUUAGUUUAAAUUUUUAAAUUUGUUUUUUUGUAAAAUAAAUUUUUUAUUUAAAUUAAUAGUUAAAGGGAUAAGCUUUUGACUUUAUUAUUAAAAGAUUAAUUGAUAAAUUUUAUUUAUAGGAUUAGAAAUGUCCAUUAAUAAAAGUCUGUUAUAAUAAGUAAAUUUGUUAUUUAAUUUUCUUUUCUUUAAAUUUUUUAUGAGAAUAUAAAAUUUAACUAAAAAUUUUUAGAAUUUAUGAUAGAAUUAGUAUACUAAAUUGUAAACUAAAUUUUUAAUUAAAGGUUAAGUUAAGGAAUUCGGCAAAUUUAUUUCUUGCCUGUUUAAUAAAAACAUGUCCUUUUGUUAUAAUUUAAGGUCUGGCCUGCCCAAUGAGUAUUUAAUGGCCGCGGUACUUUGACCGUGCAAAGGUAGCAUAAUCAUUAGUUUUUUAAUUGAAAGCUAGAAUGAAUGGUCGGACAAAGAAAUUACUGUCUCAAUUUAAUUUAAUUAGAAUUUUAUUUUUAAGUAAAAAAGCUUAAAUAACUUUAAGGGACGAGAAGACCCUAUAGAAUUUUACACUUAAAUUAAACUUUAAUUUUUAGUUUGUCUUGUUUUAGUUUAAUUUAAGUGUUUCGUUGGGGUGAUGAGAAAAUUUAAUUAACUUUUCUUUUUGUAAAUCAUAGAUUUAUGAUUAAAUGAUCCAAAUUUAUUGAUUAUAAGAUUAAAUUACCUUAGGGAUAACAGCGUUAUUAGUUUGGAGAGUUCUAAUCGAUAAACUAGAUUGCGACCUCGAUGUUGGAUUAAAAUUAACUUUUGGUGCAGAAGCUUUUAAGGUUAAGUCUGUUCGACUUUUAAAAUUUU